GACGAACGCUGGCGGCGUGCCUAACACAUGCCAGUCGAGCGGGGAUUUAAGUGGAAGUUCUUCGGAAUGGAGAUUUACAUUCUAGCGGCGGACGGGUGAGUAACGCGUGAACAAUCUGUCCCGGACAGGGGGAUAACACUUGGAAACAGGUGCUAAUACCGCAUAAGACCACGGCCUCGCAUGGGGCUGAGGUAAAAGGAGCAAUCCGGUUCGGGGUGAGUUCGCGUCCGAUUAGCUAGUUGGUGAGGUAACGGCCCACCAAGGCGACGAUCGGUAGCCGGCCUGAGAGGGUGAACGGCCACAUUGGAACUGAGAGACGGUCCAAACUCCUACGGGAGGCAGCAGUGGGGAAUAUUGGGCAAUGGGCGAAAGCCUGACCCAGCAACGCCGCGUGAGGGAAGAAGGUUUUCGGAUUGUAAACCUCUGUCCUAUGGGACGAAGGAAGUGACGGUACCAUAGGAGGAAGCCCCGGCUAACUACGUG
rnacentral:rRNA from 1 species